CUACAAAGGAAGUUGACGGGGCCCGCACAAGCGGUGGAGCAUGUGGUUAAUUCGACGCAACGCGAAGAACCUUACCAGGGCUUGACAUCCCCUGACCGCGUAUGAAAGUACGUUUUCACCCUCGGGUGACAGGGAGACAGGUGGUGCAUGGUUGUCGUCAGCUCGUGUCGUGAGAUGUUGGGUUAAGUCCCGCAACGAGCGCAACCCCUACGUUUAGUUGCUAACAGGUGAAGCUGAGCACUCUAGACGAACUGCCGUUGACAAAACGGAGGAAGGUGGGGAUGACGUCAAAUCAUCAUGCCCCUUAUGUUCUGGGCUACACACGUGCUACAAUGGCCGGUACAGACGGAGGCGAAGCCGCGAGGCGGAGCAAAUCCGAAAAAGCCGGUCUCAGUUCGGAUUGCAGGCUGCAAUUCGCCUGCAUGAAGUCGGAAUCGCUAGUAAUCGCAGGUCAGCAUACUGCGGUGAAUACGUUCCCGGGCCUU
rnacentral:rRNA from 1 species